CAGGUCUGGUGGUAUCGCUCUGUGACUUGGGUACAAUUUUAUUUGAAGAUCACAUGUAAAAGCUGAUGCUAGGACCUGCAACAGAGAGACUGCUGUCCUCCCUUCCUCCUGACUGAGCGAACUCCCACUUUGUUCCAGCACAGAGCAGAUGGCAGUGAGCUCAAGGGAGAGAUGCUCCGUCCCCAGUCCCAGGAGGACAACUGUUAUUGAUGUAAAUCAUUCCCCUUUGCCAGUGAUUGGUUUCCAGGUGGACUGAUGCCCUGACUCCGGCCAAUGAGAAGUUAAUUGGAUAUGUGCUCUUUGCCGUGGAGGCCUGCAGACCACGCCAAGCACAACAGGCCCGGCCCACCUCGGCAGCCUGGGGCCCGCUCAGGCAGGGGCAGGGGAUGUCUCUAGGGGACCAGGGAUGUGAGCUCACCUCUCAUGGGCAGCAGCCAACUGGGGUGGGAGGCAGGAGGGAGGAGGGCGUCUUAUCU
ensembl:lncRNA